UUAAAAUGGUUAAUAUCAGUUUACUAUUUUGAAAUUUCUUGGUUUUCAACAUUUGAUACAUGAAGUUUUUUCCGUCCUAGAGUGGUACCUAAAAUUAUAAUUUUGGGACACUUUCAUACAUCCGUAAGUUUUCCAUUAGAAUUUCUGUUAACUGAUGACGUGGCACCUACAUAGACAAUGACUGGGCAUCACGUGGAUAUUUAAAAAAAUUUAAAAAUUAAAAGUCAAAAAAUUAAAAAAAAAAAGAAACAAAAUCUGGGCCUAUCCUACCCACCCACCUAGCCCUCUCUCCCAUCCUUCUCUCUUCUAUCCUCUCUCAUCUCCUCUGCGCCCACCCCAAACUCAGCCAUGGCUUUUCCUCCCUUCACAACUCCAAGAUCUACAACUCCCUCUUAAAACUACAAGCCCUCAUCGGAGAGAUGAAACCCAGGGUUUUUGGUGGGUCACGAGUACCAUGUGCAUGGAAGCCAGAGUGGAACAAACUCCCGGUGAUGGAGCAAGCGAGGCUGAAAGCGAGGCAUGGAGUGAUGACGAUGGCGAAGGCAAAUUCACUAGGGAGAUAGUUUUGAGAAGCGGAUAAGUGAUGGGUUGGAUGGGCAGCAACCACGGAAAGAGAAAUGAGGAAGGGUUAGCUAGCUUCCCUGCACCGGAGACGGCGUCUGCAUGUUCUGCAAGGUGACUCCGCCCGACCUCGAGAAACUUACUUGCAAGACUUGCGUGACCCCCUAACAUGAUGCCUGCCUCUUGGCCAAGCUCGAGUCCCUGGCCGCCACUCUCCAGUGGGAAUGCCCCGAUUGCACAUCGAUCUCCAACAACGCUCCUGCGUAUAUCCCCGCCGUGAACACCUACGUGGACAGCGGUCUGGUGUCGACGAUCCGGGAGAUCGAGAACGACGCGACCUUAACGAAGCAUGAGAAGGCGAGGAUGAGGCAGGAGGUAAGUGGACGCAGAGGAAAGAAGAGAGAAGGAGGGAUGGCUCGGUGGGAACGGGGAAUGGUUAGGAAUAGGCCUAGAUUUUUAAUUUUUAAUUUUUUUAGUUUUU